AGCGAACGCUGGCGGCGGGCCUAACACAUGCAAGUCGAGCGCAUACCUUCGGGUAUGAGCGGCGGACGGGUGAGUAACGCGUAGGUCAUCUACCCUUUGGUGGGGGAUAACCCAGGGAAACUUGGGCUAAUACCGCACGAGGUCCACGGAUCAAAGCCUUCGGGCGCCAGAGGAUGAGCCUGCGUCGCAUUACCUAGUUGGCGGGGUAACGGCCCACCAAGGGGACGAUGCGUAGCUGGUCUGAGAGGAUGAUCAGCCACACUGGGACUGAGACACGGCCCAGACUCCUACGGGAGGCAGCAGUGGGGAAUAUUGCGCAAUGGGGGAAACCCUGACGCAGCCACGCCGCGUGGGUGAUGAAGGCCUUCGGGUUGUAAAGCCCUGUCGGGAGGGACGAAUUCUUGACGGUACCUCCAAAGAAAGCACCGGCUAACUCCGUGCCAGCAGCCGCGGUAAU
rnacentral:rRNA from 1 species